rnacentral:rRNA from 1 species
GACGAACGCUGGCGGCGUGCCUAAUACAUGCAAGUUGAGCGCUGAAGGUUGGUGCUUGUACCAACUGGAUGAGCAGCGAACGGGUGAGUAACGCGUGGGUAAUCUGCCUUUGAGCGGGGGACAACAUCGGGAAACGAAUGCUAAUACCGCAUAAAAACUUUAAACACAAGUUUUAAGUUUGAAAGACGCAAUUGCAUCACUCAAAGAUUAUCCCGCGUUGUAUUAGCUAGUUGGUGAGGUAAAGGCUCACCAAGGCGAUGAUACAUAGCCGACCUGAGAGGGUGAUCGCCCAAAUUGGAACUGAGAAACGGCCCAAACCCCUACGGGAGGCGGCAGUGGGGAAUCUUCGGAAAUGGCGGAAAGUCUGCCCGAGCAACGCCGCGUGAGUAAAGAAGGUUUUCGGAUCGUAAAACUCUGUUGGUAGGGAAGAACGUUGGUGAGGGUGGAAAGCACAUCAAGUGGCGGUAACUACAGAGAGAGGGACGGAUAAAUACG